CACGUAUAUAGAAUCAGAGAAUAUUGCCAGUAAUCAUAUAAUAUUAAAAAGAAAAUAGGAUUUUAUUUGGAAUAUAUGUAGUCAUUUUGAUUUGACAACAGUAGCAAGACAAUAAAUUUAAAAUUUUAACUAUGACUGAAAUAGUAAAAGCGUUUUAUUUCUCUUCAAUAUAAAUACUUUUAAAUCCGCUGACUAAAGAAUACAAUGUUUUAUGAUAUGUUUAAUUUAAUUAGUGGUAGCAUAAGACCCUACAUUUCUUUUGAAAUAAUCAAAAACAGUGGCUAUAAGUAUCUUAAUAUAUAACAUAUCUGAAUUAUUCAUAAUUUUAUAUAUUUGGAGAAUGAUUCUUCAACAUUUUGUACAUCAUAAUAAAAAAAGGAAUAACGAGGAUUAAUGUAUUUUUUAAUGUUCCUAAAAGAAAUCACAUUUCACAAGAAAUAAUAUUUUUUUCUCGUUCUUUUUCAUUCUUUUAUUUGUAGAAAAAUAAAAAACAAAACCAUUUUUUGUUAAAUUUGAGAAUGAACAACUAUUUCUUUUCAUUCUUGCUAUUUUCUUCUUUUACAUUCAUUUUCUAUCUGUUUCUCUUGUUUCUAAAAUGGUCACCAAUCGAACUAUUGUAUAGUUGUGAUGAGCAAAGCGAACCUUAUUGCUAAUUGAAGACAAGUUAACAAUUGUUAAUUGUUUCAUAUAUAGAAUGGGUCUUAUUGUUACAUGUUGCGUAACUAUAUAGACAAAUCUAAAAGGCAAUUGUUAUACUGUUUUAGGCUUAUAUGACGAAAUAAUACAUAAAGUAAAUGAAAAGAAACCAGUGUGGGAGUAGGUUCAUUCCUCAACUUGGUUAAAAAGACAAUUCUCAUAUCAAUUGGACAAUAUAAAGUAAUUCAGUAAAACAGAAGUUUAUAGUGGGAGACUAUUGUGUAACCAAUACCGUUUUCGCCUCGCGAAUAUAUAAAUGCCACCGCUGAAAUAUAAUAAAUUACUAAUGGUCAAUUUUUAGGAGAAAUUCGAACCAGAGUUCUGAUGGAAACGCACUAAUGCGUGAUGUUGAUUGGUUGAGCCUAAUCUACUGAAACCGUUCACCGAACUCAGUACGUUCUAUGACAAAAUGUCAUGGUGUUACGUCGCGUUCUUUGUUUUUCUGCCUCAAAUAUUCAAUAUAAUUAUACGGAUCUAAUUAUAAAUAUACGUAUAUCCCCAGUUAUAUAUAAAAAGCACUAAUCAGAUAUGCGUAUAUACACGUAACUGUUUAUGCUUUCUGUCACAAAACAAUACAAAGAUGAUAGCGUAAGCUAAAAAGGCAAAAGAAGUGGUGCAUGGCGAGCUUUCUUCCACUCGAGGUUUCGCUCACAUACUCCCAACUAGGUACGCUCCACAUAAAUUACUUACUUUUAAUUUCAAUCAAAUAAUUUUCUCCUAAUAGUACCAAGUGUUUUGGAGCUAAUAUGAAAUAUAUAUACUUGGAAGUUGGAACAUAUUUCGAUUUUGGGAGCCAUUAAAUUUAAUGGAUUACAAAAAAUAUAUGAUAGCUACAUGUAUGUUCUCUGCUUUAAAUUAUUUAUUUAUAUUCUACUAGAUUUUUUUUUUAGUAUUUCCAUGUUUUCUUUUAGAUACCUAAAUUUAUAAAUUAAAAUGAACAAGUAUUGUUUUAUCAAGCUAGGACAAGGAUAGAGCUAGUGAGUCAUGACCAACAUUUUCAUCUUAUCAAAUUAGAAAAAAAUAUAGAUAUGACAGGUGUGGUUAAGAUCUAAAUAUCAUCUUUUUGUUUUUAAUAAGAUCAACUUAAUUAGUUCUCUAAUUGACUGGAUAUAUAUAUAGUCAUGUAUGUCAUGUAUGCAAACACAAAAGAUAUAUAUCUAUAUAUGAAUGAUAAGUCGCAAGCAUUAAAGUGCUUUCCUAAUUGCCUUAGGUCACUCGUAUAGCAUCGAGAGUUCUUUUAUAUUUUGUUUUUGAAGAAACAAAAAUGCAACACACCUUUCAUACGUAAUAUAUUCCUUACUUGUGAAGAAACUGAAGACAAAGACUAUCCUAAAACUAAAACUAUCUUCUUCUCCGUUUUUCCUUAUGGAAGAAAACAAAUUAUGACCAGUCACCACAUCCACAUGAAUACAUGAUUCCUUGAUUAUUUCGUUUGAGCUGUUGGGAUUUGAGUUCCAAAUCGUAUACAAUUUUGAUUGCAUAAAAAGCCAAUAAUGCGUAUAUCGAACAAAAAGUCAAAUAAUCCAACAUUUGUGAAUACAAAAGAAGAUUCUAAAUAGUGAUUACAAAUUUUAAAUUAUUAUCCAUGCAAAUAGAAUCUCUUUUCAUGGGGUAGUAAUUCGUGAAACGUAUAAAAAAAUUAUAUCUGAGACAUUAAUAUAAUACAAAAGAAUCCAUUUUGAGCGUAAGGACUAAGGAGAUAUGUAGCGCGAGAGAAUUAUUAUAAGGUAGGCGUAGGCCGAAUCGUUAACUCCAACGUCAAAUAAUUGCGAUAACCUUUUACACGUCUUGGUUAGGUGUAUAACCAAACUUAUAUCCGGGUACGGAGAUUGAUAUAUUAUUAUUUAUGUUGAGUACAUUGUUUGGUAGACCUCAGACCAAGCCCCACCGGAUUAUACUCAUUGCAUUAUCCACCUCAAAACUUGGAUAUUUUACAUGUAUUUUAUCGUUUUGUAGAGAGUGCAUAAGUUCUGUCACAUGCCAUAAGAGUAAAGUCUCCUUGAUUUCGUCAUCAAGGAAUUGACUUUUUCUUAACAUGGGUCCGAGAUCUUGUUAAUGACAACCAAACACAGAUUAAUUUAUUUUGAUUCUUCCGUUAAACUGUAAAGUUCUGAAUAUUAAACAUAAAAAUGAUCUGGACCAUUAGCAAACACAAUUCACAAUACCAUUUCAUUGGAUAAUUAAACUAUCUCUUAAGAUGCUCAACUUUGAUUAUAUUAUAUAAAGAAAGAUGCGCAACAUCGAUCUAAAAUUUGGUACACUACAACUUAACAAAAUAUUUAUCUUUCUUGGGUGAAACUGAACACUGUACUCUUUUUUCUUUUCUUUUUUUUUUCUUUUUUUUUGGCGACAACACUGUACUCUUAUAUAUACACGAGUAGAAUUUACUAUUUAGAUUUUAGACUAAUAUAAAAGAUGUACGACGAUACAGAUUGACCGGUUAAAAAGUAGUCCAAUCAUAAAACUGCAUUCGGACAUAAGUCUAGUACACUUAAACAACAUGAUUGGCUCUUGAUAAGUAAAUCGGUGAUUAAGUUUUAAGGGUUCUAUGUGGUUCCAUGUGCCUAAUCUCUUAUUCGAGCUGAGGUUCUUUUUAAGAAAAUAAAUUACUGGCUGAGACAGCAGAUUGGUCAGAAUGUAUUAGCUAAUUAACAUUCAGAACGAGUUAAAAACUUUAAAUCGUCUGAUCUUUCAUUUCCACUAGCAGUGGAAUAAUCAACAUUAUAAUGAGGCAGUUUCAAGGCUCUCCAGCGCGCCACGUCAGCCAAUGUGGGACCCACCUUUUUUUUUCUAAAAACCGGCGAUUUCUGGUUGGGCUUUGAUUUUGUUCUGAGAUACUGAUGAGCUUCUUAUUAUCAAGGUUUCUUCCGGGUUUUGAUAAGAAGAGAGACGGAACCGUCGGGUUCUUCCAGUUCUUUCAUCUCUGUUGAUUCCUCUUCAGCCUUAUCAUCGAAUUAACUCGAUCUUAAUGUCUCUCCGCAGAUCCUCAGACGACGAAACGUCAUCCUGUAACGCCUCCAGAAGGCUCCUAUAUAUAGAUUUCCAAGCAAGCUAUCGUUUUCCUCGAUACUUCUAUCCUCUACCUUUUUCGAUCCUUCAGUCUUGUGAUACGUUGUUGAUGAAGACAUUUUCGGAUACUUUCCUCGGACCAGCCCGAUUAAGUGUUUUAGAGAGUCGAAAGGCCGUAUUGGUUUUUCAUUGUGCCUUCCAUGUUCACAAGUUUGGAAAUUCUUCACCUCCUUUUAGAGCCUCGAUCCUUCACUCGCUAAACCAUCCAAACGUACUCAGUUUCUAUGCGUUGUAAAGAUAUGGCUACCAUAUAAACAAUUUGGGACUCUAUAAUUAAUUGUUUCUGGUGAUCGUCUUCUUAUUAUCUCAGGUAUGAAAUGUGUGCUUACAUGAGGUUAGUUCUGGAAUAUUGCUUUCGGGUGAUCUCAAUACAUUUCUGCAGCAGAGGAAGACAAUUGAGAGGAGAAGACGCUGAACACUUGAAAGAAGAAUAAAUGCCUCCUCCCAAGAAUCACAUAUAUACUCUCCUCUUUGAUGAACAACGUGUUCAAAGAAGAACUUAUUUUCGAAGAAAAAUCCGCUCCAGUGUCCCAAUUCGGAUUCAGUACAAGUCGCAGACAAUUUACCCGUCUGACUUCGAUGAGCACCGUUAAGGCGAGAGUUUGAGAUUGAUAAUUCUUCUUGGUGGUUUGAUCCCUGAGGAGGCCAGAGUCAGGAUCAUCUGACGCUGGGUUUGGAGUGUGCUUUGGUGCUUUGUUCUCAAAGUAGAGAUGGUUUGAUUUCCCAAAAGAAAUCAACCAAAACACCAUCUCACAACCUCUUUUUAGUCUGGUUUCGGCCCAUGUAAACUCUUAUGUUCUUUAUGUAAACACGUAGAUGACAUAAAUAAAGAAUUUCCUUUUUUUCUC